UGAUCCACCUGGGGAGUACGGCCGCAAGGGUGAAACUCAAAGGAAUUGACGGGGGCCCGCACAAGCGGUGGAACAUGUGGUUUAAUUCGAUGAUACGCGAGGAACCUUACCUGGGCUUAAAUGCAGAGCGACGUACCGGGAAACUGGUAUUCCCUUCGGGGCGGACUGCAAGGUGCUGCAUGGUUGUCGUCAGCUCGUGCCGUGAGGUGUCGGGUUAAGUCCCAUAACGAGCGCAACCCUCAUCGUUAGUUGCCAGCGACUCCUGUCGGGGACUCUAACGAAACUGCCGGUCUCCUCUGUCAGGAAGGUGGGGAUGACGUCAAAUCAGCACGGCCCUUAUGUCCAGGGCUACACACGUGUUACAAUGGCCAGUACAGAGGGCAGCUACCAGGCGACUGGAUGCUAAUCUCCAAAACUGGUCUUAGUUCGGAUUGAAGUCUGCAACUCGACUUCAUGAAGCUGGAAUCGCUAGUAAUCGCGCAUCACCCAUGGCGCGCUGNAUACGUUCCCGGGCAUUGUACACACCGCCCGUCAAGCCAUGGAAGCUUGGGGUAC
rnacentral:rRNA from 1 species